GACGAACGCUGGCGGCGUGCUUAACACAUGCAAGUCGAACGGAAAGGCCCUGCUUGCAGGGUACUCGAGUGGCGAACGGGUGAGUAACACUUGGGUGUUCUGCCCUGCACUUCGGGAUAAGCCUGGGAAACUGGGUCUAAUACCGGAUAGGAGCCAUUCUUAGUGUGAUGGUUGGUAAGUUUUUUCGGUGUAGGAUGAGCUCGCGGCCUAUCAGCUAGUUGGUGGGGUAAUGGCCUACCAAGGCGGCGACGGGUAGCCGGCCUGAGAGGGUGGACGGCCACAUUGGGACUGAGAUACGGCCCAGACUCCUACGGGAGGCAGCAGUGGGGAAUAUUGCACAAUGGGCGGAAGCCUGAUGCAGCGACGCCGCGUGGGGGAUGACGGCCUUCGGGUUGUAAACUCCUUUCGCUAGGGACGAAGCUUUUGUGACGGUACCUAGAUAAGAAGCACCGGCUAACUACGUG
rnacentral:rRNA from 1 species